rnacentral:lncRNA from 1 species
GGAGGAGUGGGGUGAUCCAGCUGUUGAGCCAUGCCCCUCCCAACAGCUGUAAAGAGCCCCCCACUGGAAACAGCAAGUGGAGGCUCUUAACGUAUCAACUGUUUUGAUAUGUUAGACCAGGAGUCAGUAAACUAAAACCCAUGAGCCAAAUCUGGCCUGCUAUCUGUUUUUGUGCAGCCAACAGGCUAAGAACGACUUUUAUUUUUUUUUUUUUUUUUUUUUUGGCUUUUACAUUUUUAAAUGGUGGAAAAAAACCAAAAGAGUAUUUCAUGACAUGAGAUAAUUGUAUGAAACUCAAGUGUCCACAUCCAUCCAAUAAAGUUUUAUCAGAACAUCACCUCAUCCCUUUGUUUACAUAAUUAUCUGUGGCUGCUUUCGAAGUUGAAAUAGAUCUGCAAUGGAGACCAUUCGCCCACCCCUGGUCUAGGCCUUCAGCUCAACGAACCUUCCAUGGCAACAGACACCUGCCAAACUCUGGGCUCAUCUCUGAGGGUACACAGAUGAAUAAAAUACAGCUCUGUUCUUGUGAGGCCUGAGGACUAGUAGAAGAGCACAUAGGUUAAGAACCUAGUCCUCUGUUCUUAGAGAUGCCAGAUCCAUUCUGGCAAAGAGAUUUUCAAAGAGAUUCCAGUUUGAAGGAAUGUGACCCCUACAAGGACUCCUAUCCAUUCAUGAUUCCAGCGAGGGCACAAUUUUGCAGGAGAGUGAGCUGGUUCCUUGAGGCACACCCAGUGGUCCCUAUCAGUACUUGGGGUAUGGGCUGCCUUACACCAGCCUAUUCUACUGGCUCUUUGCAAGCGGGUGUAGGGAGAUCUAGUCACGAUAGUCUGAAGUCCCUUGCGCCAGUUCUCCAACAGUCCAUGGGUCACCCACCCUCUGUGCACAGCUGCAUCUGCUGUUCCUUUAGUGGAUUGUUUUAUUGUUUCACUAUUACCAUUUUAUUGUGGGUACUGCAUGCAAUCUGGUUUCUCCCUCUUACUGCUCUCCCUGCCUCACACAGAUGUAAAAUGUCUCUUUCCCCAGGGAAACUGCCCAAGUCUCUCCUGGGGCCACCUUUGGUCAGAGGCUCCUCGCAGGAAGCAGAGCCAGGGCCAGCAACAGUCGGCCCUGAGCACGAAGCAGUAACAACAUGCUGAACCUCAAAGUCCCUCUGGUGAGAGCCUCUGCCUGUGAGGUGCACUGGCUGGCUGGUGUCCUGAGACAAAGGAUUCCCACUUAGGACUGGCUGCUUAAGGUAAAAGCAUUGUUGCCUUCACCAUCACCGUCACUCACUUUGUAGAAAAGUGUAUAUGAGGGUGCCUGGGUGGCUCAGAGGUUCAGCGUCUGCCUUCAUUAGGCUCAGGAUGUGAUCCCAGAGUCCUGGGAUCGAGUUCCACAUCCGGCCCCCUGCAGGGAGCCUGCCUCUCCCUCUGCCUGUGUCUCUGCCUCUGUGUGUGUGUCUCUCUCAUGAAUAAAUAAAUAAAAUCUUUUUUAAAAAAAGUGUAUAUGAAAUAAAAUGCAUAAAAUUGGAGCCACAGUACAAGAGUGCUAAUGGAAAU